UCCAGAAGAAGACGAGUUUGGUCAAGGCGAAGAAAAGACAAAGCAGAUCCUGAAAAGGACCAGGAUGAGGCAGUCAGUAAAAUAGAUGAAUCAGAAUUUGUGGCAAAAAGUGGGAUAGAGCCCGCCAGCGACUCAGAAACAGACUCAGAGAAGGAAGAAGAUCACCAAGAACCGACCCCACCUCCCUCCCAAUCUUCCAAUGAAGUGAGAGAAGUACGUUUGUUCCAACGCAUAUGCGACUACGAAGUUGUUGUACUGGCCGAAAAUCCAUGGCAGCUGAAGGGUGAGGUCAAAGCAGCCAAUCGACCCCAGAAUUCGCUCCGUGAGGAGAUCCUCGACUUUGACUCCACUUUUCCACUUCACGAAGAAGGAGGCAGAUGCCAAGCUGCUGAUGAGUAUCACCAAGAACCGCAAUGUUCAAAAGCUCUGAAGUCAUCCAAGGCGUUCUUUAACAAACUGCAGGACACCACAGCGUCCAUAGAUGCUAACAAGCGACCGAAAAAGGAUCCAUCUAAAGCAAAUGCCAAGAAGCUGAAGCUUUAAAUGAACAUUUUAAGACUCCUCCAUUUGCCUUCAGCCAGCCAAUUUUUUUGGUCUCCAGUCACGUGCCAGAAAAUGGCCACUAGCACACACACAACCACAAAGGAUUCCUAUUUGCAAGAAUAACUUAGGCAGGUCCUGCGAGUGUAGCCAGUGCAUAAUUUGAGGCUCCAUGGGAGAUGCCAUGCGCUCGAACUUUUAAUGUUCCAUGUGCGAGUCUCCUGCGUAAGCAUAUGUGUUGUGUGGGCGAUUUUCAUGUGGCUAUGUGUGUGAGUCAAGGACAUUCAUUGCCCUGGUGAUGCGAUUAGGCACGCGUGUAGUGUGCGGAAUAUGACUAUUUUUAGAAUUAUUUACUUAAAAUAAACUGUUUGCUAUGUAAAUAGAAUCUUAAUUAAAGGAAACUGCAAGUAGCCGUUUGAACAAUUUUAGAAGUUA